rnacentral:rRNA from 1 species
AUGGAUCCAGCAGAUUGUAUUGUUGUCCGUUUUCAUUUCAAUGGGGAAUUUAUCAAUGACGGGAAGACAAUACAGUAUGUGGGGGGCAAAGAAGCAAUGUCCUUUUUAGAUCGAGCAACCUUGAGCUUACAGAGAAUUCAACAGUGUUUGAGUGAGCAUUAUGUCACAGUGGACGGACAACAAUUGCACUGGCUCUUCCCUGGGAAGGAUUUAUUUGAUGGAUUGUUGAUGUUGUCUGAGGACAAGUCUGUUGAAACACUGUCAGCAUGUACAACAGAUGCAGGUGUGGCUGAUGUGUAUGUGGAGGAUCCGGCCGUGCAAGAUGAAGAAGUUAGUGAGGAAGAAGAUUGGGCUGAAGACGAUUAUGUAGCUACUGCUGAUGAGAAGAAGUCCGCAAAGGAAAAGCUAAUUGAUGUAGAAAGCAGCUCCGAUGAUAGUGACUUUGUGCCACCAGAUUUUUCAUCGGAUGAUGAUGAGGCAGAUGCUAUUAAGCAAGAUUACAAGAAAUUCAAAAGGAGCAAGAAGAUGGCAGCUGAAAAACUUGCACUUGAGUAUGAGUUUGAAGCAUUGAAUGUAGUUAAACCUGAAGGCAAUUAUGAAGAUGAAUCAAGUGCUGAAGAGGAUGAAUCUUAUGACGAGGAUAGUGAUGGUGAACUUAUCAAGCGUGAGUCUGAAUAUGCUAGGUUUAAUAAGAAAGCAGAAGUGAUCAAGUUCACCUUGGGUAUGACAUUUAGUGGGAAGAAGGAGUUCAAAGAUGCAAUCAUUCGUUAUGCACUGAAGGAAAGAAAAUAA